rnacentral:rRNA from 1 species
UGAGGAAUAUUGGUCAAUGGGCGAGAGCCUGAACCAGCCAAGUCGCGUGAGGGAAGACGGUCCUAUGGAUUGUAAACCUCUUUUGUCGGGGAGCAAAUGCAGCUACGAGUAGCUGAGAGGAGAGUACCCGAAGAAAAGCAUCGGCUAACUCCGUGCCAGCAGCCGCGGUAAUACGGAGGAUGCGAGCGUUAUCCGGAUUUAUUGGGUUUAAAGGGUGCGCAGGCGGAGGCGGCGAGUCAGCGGUAAAAUUUCGGAGCUCAACUCCGGAGAGCCGUUGAAACUGCCCCACUAGAGUGGGCGAGAAGUAUGCGGAAUGCGUGGUGUAGCGGUGAAAUGCAUAGAUAUCACGCAGAACUCCGAUUGCGAAGGCAGCAUACCGGCGCCCGACUGACGCUCAUGCACGAAAGCGUGGGUAUCGAACAGGAUUAGAUACC